rnacentral:misc_RNA from 1 species
GAAGUGCGAUAAGCAAUGCGAAUUGCAGAACCGUGAGUCAUCAGAUUUUUGAACGCAACUGGCGCCGGUUGGCUCUCCAACCGGCAUGCUUGUUUCAGUGUCUCUUUAUCUCAUCACCCAAAUCAUAAUGCGAGAGAUACCCUUCUCUUGCUAAGCAUGAAAGCACUCUGCGCUCUGCGAGCGGCUUCGACUUGUUCGAGGGUCGCACUCAAUGCAGCAGUCACAUUGCUCACAAUGUGAACUCAUUGAGAGCUGAGGCAGUGCAGCGUAAGCUGCCAGUGCUUAGUCACUCAAACUUUACUUGCAUCUGAAAUCAAGCAGGACCACCCGCUGAGUUUAA